rnacentral:rRNA from 1 species
GACGAACGCUGGCGGCGUGCUUAACACAUGCAAGUCGAACGGAAAGGCCCUGCUUUUGUGGGGUGCUCGAGUGGCGAACGGGUGAGUAACACGUGAGUAACCUGCCCUUGACUUUGGGAUAACUUCAGGAAACUGGGGCUAAUACCGGAUAGGAGCUCCUGCUGCAUGGUGGGGGUUGGAAAGUUUCGGCGGUUGGGGAUGGACUCGCGGCUUAUCAGCUUGUUGGUGGGGUAGUGGCUUACCAAGGCUUUGACGGGUAGCCGGCCUGAGAGGGUGACCGGCCACAUUGGGACUGAGAUACGGCCCAGACUCCUACGGGAGGCAGCAGUGGGGAAUAUUGCACAAUGGGCGGAAGCCUGAUGCAGCAACGCCGCGUGCGGGAUGACGGCCUUCGGGUUGUAAACCGCUUUCGCCCGUGACGAAGCGUGAGUGACGGUAAUGGGUAAAGAAGCACCGGCUAACUACGUGCCAGCAGCCGCGGUGAUACGUAGGGUGCGAGCGUUGUCCGGAUUUAUUGGGCGUAAAGGGCUCGUAGGUGGUUGAUCGCGUCGGAAGUGUAAUCUUGGGGCUUAACCCUGAGCGUGCUUUCGAUACGGGUUGACUUGAGGAAGGUAGGGGAGAAUGGAAUUCCUGGUGGAGCGGUGGAAUGCGCAGAUAUCAGGAGGAACACCAGUGGCGAAGGCGGUUCUCUGGGCCUUUCCUGACGCUGAGGAGCGAAAGCGUGGGGAGCGAACAGGCUUAGAUACCCUGGUAGUCCACGCUGUAAACGGUGGGUACUAGGUGUGGGGUCCAUUCCACGGGUUCCGUGCCGUAGCUAACGCUUUAAGUACCCCGCCUGGGGAGUACGGCCGCAAGGCUAAAACUCAAAGGAAUUGACGGGGCCCCGCACAAGCGGCGGAGCAUGCGGAUUAAUUCGAUGCAACGCGUAGAACCUUACCUGGGUUUGACAUGGAUCGGGAGUGCUCAGAGAUGGGUGUGCCUCUUUUGGGGUCGGUUCACAGGUGGUGCAUGCCUGUCGUCAGCUCGUGUCGUGAGAUGUUGGGUUAAGUCCCGCAACGAGCGCAACCCUUGUUCACUGUUGCCAGCACGUUACGGUGGGGACUCAGUGGAGACCGCCGGGGUCAACUCGGAGGAAGGUGGGGAUGACGUCAAGUCCUCAUGCCCCUUAUGUCCAGGGCUUCACGCAUGCUACAAUGGCUGGUACAGAGAGUGGCGAGCCUGUGAGGGUGAGCGAAUCUCGGAAAGCCGGUCUCAGUUCGGAUUGGGGUCUGCAACUCGACCUCAUGAAGUCGGAGUCGCUAGUAAUCGCAGAUCAGCAACGCUGCGGUGAAUACGUUCCCGGG